rnacentral:lncRNA from 1 species
CUCUUCCUGCUGGCUGUGUCUCUCCAACAGAAUAUUGACUCCCGUAAGGCAGUAGGCAUGACUCUGUGGAUCCUGUACUAUGUCUGCCCCUCUUAAUAGCUUAGGUAUUAGGCUAUUACUAAUCCUUGGAUGUAUGGUUCCCAUAAUCCACAUCUUUGCAAAUAGUCUCUUUGUAAAUAAACCCUCAUGAAAUUAUUCUAUUUUGAACUACACCAUCUGUUUUCUCUUGGGAUGAUGAAGAAAUAAGAAUGGAAGCAUAAUCAUUUGUCCGAGGUCACAGAGGGAGAUGAUUACACAGCUGGAAUAAACUCUCCUCCUUCAAUACCUGACUACUUGCACCAUCCAGCAGAUAUCCUCUACUACCAAGUCUCAACAGAUGGUUCAGCUGGUCUUUAAUGAACAAAAGGCAUUUGUGUAAUGGACUCUUAUUGCUCAAGAAGAAUUUCUUCCUUCCUGAAACAUGAGGAGAAACUGACAAAAACUGUCUCCUUGACCAAACCCUAGUCAGUUGCCUAUAAGCCCUGUAGGCUGUGACCUUAGUGUCUAUCCUUAUCAGACACGCAUUACACAACCAUAGCAACAGUCUUGCUAAGUUGGUUUAACCAGAACCCCUACCCUUGAUAUCUGAUUUAAUUUAUAAUUCCCCUGAGUCCCCGAGGUGACAUCCAUUCAUCCUGGCCAGCUUUCAAUAAGAAUCCUAUUGGAUUAUUUAGCUAGAAAUCACCCCUUACACUUAAUGCUUCCUUUUAGUAAUUUUGCAUCCACUAACCCCGACCUUGCUCGUUGGCUAUAAAUCCACAAGUUGUCCGUGUUGUGUUUGGAAUUGAUUACAAUUCUAUAUUGAGGUCUCUUUUCCCAUAUUGCAAUAGUUCCUGAUUAAAAUCUGCUUUUGCCCAUUGAUAUGGUUUGGUUGUGUACCCACUCAAAUCUCAUCUUGAAUUGUAGCUCCCAUGAUUCCCAUAAUUGAAUCAUGGCAGCAGUUUACCCCAUACUGUUCUUGUGGUAGUGAAUAAGUCUCAUGAGAUCUGAUGGUUUUAUAAGGGGUUUCCACUUUCACUUGAUUCUGACUCUCUUUUGUUUGCCGCUAUGUAAGACAUGCCUUUCACCUUCUGCCAUAAUUGUGAAGCCUCCCCAGCCACAUGGAACUGUGAGUCCGUUAAACCUCAUUUUCUUUAUAUAUAAAUUACCCAGUCUCAGGUAUGUCUUUAUCAGCAGCAUGAAAAUGGACUAAUACACUCCUUUAACUGUGUAGCUCUGGUGUUCUUUGAUGAGCUAGAAACUGUAAAUCUCUGGAAGUCAAAUCUUCAUUUGAACUGGUUGUUAUAUAUUAUUGAUUCUCUCAAUUAUUUAGUUAAAUAAAAGUCUUGACAUGUUAAA